rnacentral:misc_RNA from 1 species
UCUCCGUUGGUGAACCAGCGGAGGGAUCAUUACAGAGUUGCAAAACUCCCAAACCAUUGUGAACGUUACCUAUCCCGUUGCUUCGGCGGGCGGCCCGGGCCCCGCGCCCGGCGCCCCCCCGGCCCCCCGUGGGCGCCCGCCGGAGGUAAACCAAACCCUUGAAUUGCAUGGCCUCUCUGAGUCUUCUGUACUGAAUAAGUCAAAACUCUCAACAACGGAUCUCUUGGUUCUG